rnacentral:lncRNA from 1 species
UGUCUCUCUGCCCUUUGCUCCCUGCAAAUCAUUUAUCACCUCUUGCUCCUCACCUUUCUCUUGUCUCAUAGGGUUUUUUCUUUUUCUGAUUCUAAAAAUAAUAUGCCUCUAGCAAACUGACCAGAGUAUAGAGGGAAAAAAUUCACCAGAAAGCCACCAUCCUACCGUGGCACUGUGCAGACACUGGGACAAAGUGAUGAACAGCACGGACUCAGUAAACAUGGAAACAAGAGCAUCUCCUCUGCACUUGGCUUUUCCAAAAUCGUGGCUGCACCGUCUCAGGGAGCCCACUCUAAGGUUGGGCUAAUCUCCCAGAUGAGAACCAGAAAAGCGAAGGGACUACCAAGAUUACACAGCUGUUAGCGGCAGAACUGAGAUUCCACCUGGAUCUUCUGGCCACGAUGCCAACUCUUUGCCCAUCAAACCAGAGUGUCCCCAGGAUUCCCGAGGGCAGGGAGCUGGACACAGCUACUGUGGACCCAGGGAAGCGCUGACCAUCAGGAUUUGGCAGUGAGAGCCUCCGUCCAUCUCCCACCCUCCGGACUUCGAUGUUGGGGCCAGCAGACAGGAGCCAUCAGACACGUUCUUUUCGGGCUGCCUCUUCCUCCGUCCAGCUCAGGUGACUGGUGGCCCCUCUGGGCCCAACCAGUCUGGGCAAGAAGCAGCCCCAGCUCUGUCAGAUGCCCAGGGUGGCCCACCCCCCUUCCUGGAGCCCAGCCAGCCCUCUCAGCUGGACUCUUGACCCUCUGUUUUCCUGUUUCUCUGCAGGAAAUGAGCUCUGAAAGACAAGCGCUGAGUGGGGUCCAGACAACAUAUCCAUGCUCAGGGCAGGAAGUAGGAAGGCGGGCAGGGAGGUCCCAGGCAUAUCUGUCCCCUUCUCUCAGAAAAACAAUGCUUUUAUACAAAUCUCCCCAGCAGACUUCUGCUUGUUCUCUUUGGAAAGAACCAGAACAUGUGGCCAUUCCUAGCUGCAAGAAAGUCUGGGAAAAAGGGAGCAAGAUUAUCAUGAUUGGCUUAGACCAGGGUCAGCAACCUUCCGUGAAGGCCUAGAUGGUAAAGACUUGAGGCUUGGUGGCCGUAGACUCUGUCACAACUACUCAACUCUGCCUUUGAAGCACGAAAGCAGCCCCAGACAAUACACAACAAAUGGGUGUGGCUGUGUUCCCAUUAAACUUUAUGGACACAAGCUUGAAUUUCAUGUUAUUUUCAUGUGUCACAAAGUACUAUUUUUUUUUU